rnacentral:misc_RNA from 1 species
GUUUGAGAUAAAAACUCUCUUCUUUCAGAGAGAUUUUUUCUGAAGAGAAGCUUCUUCCUCUGGCUCCCGAGUAGUUCUCCCUGCCUAUGCGAGGCCUACCUUGUCCCUUUCAAGGAAGGAGAGGUCCUUCUCCCACUCAGAAAUGUGGGUUUAGCCCUCCCAUUUUUUUGGGUUGGACGUAGAUACUAUUUUGCUAUGGGUUUUGUAGAUCUAUGGUUACAUGUGGGACUUUUUGUGAUCUGUGGUUAAGGCAUUGUAACAUGGUUGUGGUUUUGUCCUUUCUUUUUCUGUUCUUGUUAUGCUCUUGCAAGUGGAGGUGAAGCUUCCCUUUAAAGCUACUACUCUCGGGACAUAUCGGCACCACCAUCCAUUUGUUUCACCAUGUCGGGACAUAUCUGCCAGACUUUGUCUUCUUCCCCUGCACCUCCUACGGUUCUGAGCUUUUCUCUUGGUUGGUCAUGUAUCGUGGCUCUAUUCACUUGCAGUUUCUGGAAAUAAUUUUUAGGGGCCUCAUUCAUCCGGCUGUAGCUUGACAUGGCUCCCUUUGCACUCCUUGGCUUUCGUACCCCUAGUGAUUGGCUAUCGGAGAUGGUGCUAGUGUUCCCCUUUUGCUGCUAUUUGGUUUCCUGCCCUUACUAGGUUUUGGUAAUGGGUUUGGGCUGUAAGAUCUUAGGUUGUGAACCAUAGGCUUGAGUUAGCUUGGGCCUUGAGCUUCGUUUGUUUUUCCCUGCUAUCAGGAUUUGUUUCUAGCCCUUCUAUCCCUUUUAUGUAUGGGCAUGUACUAAAUGUUUUCAUCUAAUGAAUUUUUCUCUAUGCCUUUCGAUUAAAAAAAAAAAAA